rnacentral:rRNA from 1 species
CCUACGGUGGCAGCAGUGGGGAAUAUUGGACAAUGGGCGAAAGCCUGAUCCAGCCAUGCCGCGUGUGUGAAGAAGGCCUUCGGGUUGUAAAGCACUUUCAGUGGGGAAGAAAGCCUUGGGGCUAAUACCCUCGAGGAAGGACAUCACCCACAGAAGAAGCACCGGCUAACUCCGUGCCAGCAGCCGCGGUAAUACGGAGGGUGCGAGCGUUAAUCGGAAUUACUGGGCGUAAAGCGCGCGUAGGCGGUCUGAUAAGCCGGUUGUGAAAGCCCCGGGCUCAACCUGGGAACGGCAUCCGGAACUGUCAGGCUAGAGUGCAGGAGAGGAAGGUAGAAUUCCCGGUGUAGCGGUGAAAUGCGUAGAGAUCGGGAGGAAUACCAGUGGCGAAGGCGGCCUUCUGGACUGACACUGACGCUGAGGUGCGAAAGCGUGGGUAGCAAACAGGAUUAGAUACCCCGGUAGUC